GCGGGAGUAGCUCAGCUGCUUAGAGCAUUAGCCUUCCAAGCUAAGGGUCGCGGGUUGGAAUCCCGUUUCCCGCU
rnacentral:tRNA from 1 species